GUGCUCAGCAGCACAUAUAAUAAGGCUGGAGUGAUACCGAGACUAUUAGCAUGAUUCCUAUGUAAGGAUGGCAUGCAAAUUUGUGAAGCAAUCCAUAAAUAU